rnacentral:rRNA from 1 species
UGCCUACGGGGCGCAGCAGUAGGGAAUUUUCGUCAAUGGGCGCAAGCCUGAACGAGCGAUGCCGCGUGAGUGAAGAAGGCCUUCGGGUCGUAAAGCUCUGUUGCGGGGGAAAAAAGGCAGCAUCAGGAAAUGGGUGCUGACUGAUGGUGCCCCGCCAGAAAGUCACGGCUAACUACGUGCCAGCAGCCGCGGUAAUACGGAGGGUGCGAGCGUUAAUCGGAAUUACUGGGCGUAAAGCGCUCGUAGGCGGUAUGUCAAGUCAAGGGUGAAAUCCCCGCGCUCAACGUGGGAACUGCCUUUGAAAC